CAUGAAUAGCUUCAUUGUGCAACAGCCUCCCUCCGAUCAGACUUCCCGUUAGCUUUCGUUCAGCUGGCCUUAGACAGUCCAGCUGCUGUGGCACCUUGUUGGAGCAAAUUAGAGGCAAACUGGUGGGAAGUGACUACUGCUUACAAACAUCUUCCCUGGAAGUCUGAGGAAGCAUCUGGGAGAGUUUUGUCCGUGCGAGAAGGAAAGCAGCCGCUCAGUUCCUCCAGAACCUUGUCUGUGCAGAAGACCAGGAUGGCGAGUUGUGGCUCGUGUUUCUGGUGCAUCAUUUGGCUGGUGGUACUCCUGUGCAUUGGCUGGCCAAUCAGCAUCACCUUAGGCGGCCUCUACGGUCUCAUCAGCCCCCUCACCACCUGCCUUGGCCUUGAUCGACUUUCUGACUUACUGCUGGAGGGGGCCAACGUAGGCCGGACCUGUGCCAACAACAUGAGGCACUGCAAGCCUUUGUGCUGAGAAUCACCCUGAGUGAUCAGGACCUGAUCACACAGGGGUCAUAGGCAACUCGCGUUUUAUAGCAACAAAGCUUCUUCACAGAGAUAGGAGCCGAUGGUGUCUGUUUUAUUUUGUAAUGAGUGGCAUUUGAUAAACUGGCAUUCUGUCUUGCAACCUCUGUUACCAAAAAGUUUGAACACUGGUUUCCACCUCUGCUGUUAACACCUAAUUAACCUCGGAUUUCAGUUUUGUGUGCAAGAAAAUAGGCUUUGCAUUCAUGGUCCAUGCUCUCUGUAUAAUUCAUGGUGACACUGCAUGCAGAAGAUAAGAAUGAAAAUGGCAUUUUAACAAUAGGACUGUUUAGACUUGUAAAGCACUGUACUGAAACCUAGAAUGCGAUUAAAACUGCUUUAAGCUUGUC